rnacentral:rRNA from 1 species
CCUACGGGAGGCAGCAGUGAGGAAUAUUGGUCAAUGGGCUUACGCCUGAACCAGCCAAGUCGCGUGGGGGAAGACUGCCCUAUGGGUUGUCAACCUCUUUUGUCAGGGAGCAAUUGGCGCUACGUGUAGCGUUAUCGAGAGUACCUGAAGAAAAAGCAUCGGCUAACUCCGUGCCAGCCGCCGCGGUAAUACGGAGGAUGCGAGCGUUAUCAGGAUUUAUUGGGUUUAAAGGGUGCGUAGGCGGCCUUUUAAGUCAGCUGUGAAAGUCUGUGGCUCAACCAUAGUAUUGCCGUUGAAACUGGGAGGCUUCAGUAUGUGUGAGGCAGGCGGAAGGCGUGGUGUAGCGGUGAAAUGCUUAGAUAUCACGCAGAACCCCGAUUGCGAAGGCAGCCUGCCAAGCCAUGACUGACGCUGAUGCACGAAAGCGUGGGGAUCAAACAGGAUUAGAUACCCUUGUAGUC